rnacentral:pre_miRNA from 1 species
UAUAUACUCCUUCCGUCCGGAAAUACUUGUCAUCAAAAUGGAUAAAAGGGAUGUAUCUAGAUGUAUUUUAGUUUUAGAUACAUCCCUUUUUGUCCAUUUUGAUGACAAGUAUUUUCAGACGGAGGGAGUAUAAU